rnacentral:lncRNA from 10 species
AUGGAAAAGGAAACAUCUAAUUAAAUUGAAUCUACAAGAAGCCAUGAGAGGAGAGAAAAGAGAAAGGUUAUCUCCAUCCCUUGUGAUACCUGCUGCUGCCAGAUUGCUGCUUCAUUGAUUUAUGGUGAACACUCAGUUCUCUAUCACAUCACACAGCCCCCAUCCCUCUCUGUCUCUCUCCACCUUCCCCCUUGACUUCCCAGGAUCUCGACACAGUUCUAUGAUCAGCCAUUUCUCUUUCCACAUCACCUUCAUCUGUAAGUCCUCCCCUCCUUCCUCCACCCCUCCCUGGCUGCACCCCUGCCCUCCCUGAGGGCUGCCUGACCUGUCUCACACAACUCUCUGGUUCAGACUGGAAGACUCCUCUCAUCUGUCCUUGAAUUUCCUCUAUUCCUACUCCAUUGUCUUCACCUUUGUCUUUGUUUGGUUUGUUUGUCUCCUCUUUAUGUGUCCUCUCAUUUCUGCUACAUUCAGAAUACCUAUUUUACUCCUUAAAGCCACUGAGUCUACCCCUCACCUUG